AUUGAACGCUGGCGGUAUGCUUAACACAUGCAAGUCGAACGAUGAGAAAGAGCUUGCUCUUUCGAUUAGUGGCGGACGGGUGCGUAACGCGUAGGAAUCUACCUAUUAGUGGGGGACAACUUAGGGAAACUUAAGCUAAUACCGCAUACGCCCUACGGGGGAAAGAAGGGGAUCGCAAGACCUUUUGCUAAUAGAUGAGCCUGCGUAGGAUUAGCUAGUUGGUGGGGUAAAAGCUCACCAAGGCGACGAUCCUUAACUGGUUUGAGAGAAUGAUCAGGCACACUGGAACUGAGACACAGUCUAGACUCCUACGGGAGGCAGCAGUGGGGAAUAUUGGACAAUGGGCGAAAGCCUGAUCCAGCAAUACCGCGUGUGUGAAGAAGGCCUUAGGGUUGUAAAGCACUUUCAAUUGGAAGGAAAACCUCGAAGCUAAUACCUUCGAGUUUGACAUUACCUUUAGAAGAAGCACCGGCUAACUCCGUGCCAGCCGCCGCGGUAA
rnacentral:rRNA from 1 species